GUCGAACCGUGCGAACGUUAUUCGGAAUCACUGGGCUUAAAGCGCGUGUAGGCGGGUGACCGCGUCGGUCGCUUAAAGCCCCCGGCUCAACCGGGGGAUGGGCGCCGAAACGGGUCGCCUGGAGGGGCGUAGGGGGACCUGGAACUUCCGGUGGAGCGGUGAAAUGCGUUGAGAUCGGAAGGAACGCCCGUGGCGAAAGCGGCGCGCUGGACCACUACUGACGCUGAGGAACGAAAGCUAGGGGAGCAAACAGG
rnacentral:rRNA from 1 species